CGAUGGCUAAUACCGCAUAGAAGCUACGGCUUAAAGAGGGGGACCUUCGGGCCUCUCGCGUCAGGAUAUGCCCAGGUGGGAUUAGCUAGUUGGUGGGGUAAAGGCUCACCAAGGCAACGAUCUCUAGCUUGUCUGAAAGGAUGAUCAGCCACACUGGAACUGAGACACGUCCAGACUCCUACGGGAGGCAGCAGUGGGGAAUAUUGCGCAAUGGGCGCAAGCCUGAUGCAGCCAUGCCGCGUGUAUGAAGAAGGCCUUCGGGUUGUAAAGUACUUUCAGUGGUGAGGAAGGUUAUGUAUUUAAUAGAUGCAUAGCUUGACGUUAGCCACAGAAGAAGCACCGGCUAACUCCGUGCCAGCAGCCGCGGUAAUACGGAGGGUGCGAGCGUUAAUCGGAAUUACUGGGCGUAAAGCGCAUGCAGGUGGUCUGUUAAGUCAGAUGUGAAAGCCCGGGGCUUAACCUCGGAAUAGCAUUUGAAACUGUCAGACUAGAGUACUGUAGAGGGGGGUAGAAUUUCAGGUGUAGCGGUGAAAUGCGUAGAGAUCUGAAGGAAUACCGGUGGCGAAGGCGGCCCCCUGGACAGAUACUGACACUCAGAUGCGAAAGCGUGGGGAGCAAACAGGAUUAGAUACCCUGGUAGUCCACGCCGUAAACGAUGUCUACUUGGAGGUUGUGGCCUUGAGCCGUGGCUUUCGGAGCUAACGCGUUAAGUAGACCGCCUGGGGAGUACGGUCGCAAGAUUAAAACUCAAAUGAAUUGACGGGGGCCCGCACAAGCGGUGGAGCAUGUGGUUUAACUCGAUGCAACGCGAAGAACCUUACCUACUCUUGACAUCUACAGAAGCUUGCGGAGACGCGAGUGUGCCUUCGGGAACUGUAAGACAGGUGCUGCAUGGCUGUCGUCAGCUCGUGUUGUGAAAUGUUGGGUUAAGUCCCGCAACGAGCGCAACCCUUAUCCUUGUUUGCCAGCACGUAAUGGUGGGAACUCCAGGGAGACUGCCGGUGAUAAACCGGAGGAAGGUGGGGACGACGUCAAGUCAUCAUGGCCCUUACGAGUAGGGCUACACACGUGCUACAAUGGCACAUACAGAGGGCAGCCAACUUGCAAAAGUGAGCGAAUCCCAAAAAGUGUGCCGUAGUCCGGAUCGGAGUCUGCAACUCGACUCCGUGAAGUCGGAAUCGCUAGUAAUCGUGGAUCAGAAUGCCACGGUGAAUACGUUCCCGGGCCUUGUACACACCGCCCGUCACACCAUGGGAGUGGGCUGCAAAAGAAGUAGGUAGUUUAACCUUCGGGGGGACGCUUACCACUUUGUGGUUCAUGACUGGGGUGAAGUCGUAACAAGAUA
rnacentral:rRNA from 1 species